UGAAAAUAAGUCAGAAUCUGAAAAUCAGGAGCUGCAGGCUCAAGUCAAAAUGCUGCAGUCCCAAGUGUCUGAACUCACAACUGGUCAGUUAAAAGCCACCUCGGAUGCUCAAAAAGUAUUCCACACAGAUGACAUGAAAUCCAGAAAAAAUUAUGAAGUUCAGGCUUUAAGAAAACAAGUUGGGGAUGUGCAACAUCAUCUCAACACGAUGACUGUAAAACCCACAAAUCCUCCUCAGACUAAAGGUGCAAGAUGGAGGCCAGAAAACAAAGCGCAUAAAUCUUCUCCACACCUUAGUAGCCAAAGCACAACUCACACCAAACAUGACAAAGAGGAUUUCUUCUGUUAUAGCUGUGGGGAAGGAGGACAUGUGUCUACUCAUUGUACAGCUCCCGAAGACCAUGGCAAAGUCAUUCAGAAACUGAUCUGUUCUCUAAGACAAAAAAGAAAUGAGACAAACAGACAAGGGAAAGAGAACUCAAGCACCAACUGCUCUGUCAAAAGGAAUGCAGUUGAUGCCCAACAUGCUACAGGCAUCCCUAAGGAACUAGUAGGAGAGGCCUCCCUCAGUAAAGUAAUCAUUGAAGGUCAACCAACCAACGCCCUGAUGGACAGUGGUUCUAGUGUUACCAUAAUAUUUGAAAGCUGGUACACAGACCAUGUGUCCCAUUUACCUCUCCAUCCUAUUUCCAGCUUGGCCCUUUGGGGACUCAGUGAAUCCUGAUAUCUAUACAAGAGCUAUAUAACUAUGAAUGUUGAGUUCUUGGAGGAUGGUCUUCAAUUAGAGCCAACCAGAGCCAUAGAGAUAAAAAGAGUCGCGACACUCCCAUUGGACUGCGUUGUACGCUGUUUGCCACCUACUUCCGGGGUAUGCAGCCUCGCAUAGUUCCAAAAAGCCAUUCUAUGGCGUUGGACAUCAUUCACUUCCAUUGCUGACUGUCGAGUAACUUCUGAGGCGGCUGCUGCUGGAGGCGAUGACUGCUUGAGCUGGCUGAUGUUGGCGAAGGAUGGUGAUGGUGGCGGCUGCUGCUUGUGACGGCUGCUGAUAAUGUUGGCCUCUGCUGGCGCUGGCAGCUGGUGGCGGCUGGUGCUGGCUGGUGCUGGCCAUGGCUGCUGGUGGCGACUGCUGACUGCUGGAAUAAGAGGAGACUGGAGGCUGUGGAGGCUGUGGAGACUGCGGACGGUGUGCCGGGAAUGGAGUGGCCGAGUACAUCCAUGGCAACCAGUAAGGUGUUCGUCAGUGGCCUAGAUGGUAUGACCUUAGGUGAGGAGGUCUGCUGUGUGGAAAUCGCCUUCUUGGUCUGACUCUUGCUGCCAAGGAUUUUUUUUUUCAGCUCAUGGCAUGAGGGAAGGUUGCUGUCCAGACUCAUGGCCUCUCUUUCCAGCUGUUCCACUACGUUGGAGGGAAUCACUCCUCUUGGAAUGAAAGAGCUGCUCCACGUGCUGCAGGAGAGUGAACAGCUCAUCGCAUGGCCGGUAUAAUGCACCCCUUUUAAAUUCCUUUAACUGUAGUAAAACAGCUUUCUCACUUGUGUUGGUUACUUUUUCAACCAGUGCACAUUGGCAUUCCUCACAGAGCGAGAAGCUGAUGACCUUCUUCGCUAUGUAUCCUGCCAGGUGGUAGAGGACCCAAGACUCGGUCUUUGUGAGGUCAGGUGGUGAUGGAUCUACCAGCUGCUCCACUCUCACAACCUCAGAAGCACUGCAGUUGCUGUUCUUGUUGUCCAAGAAGUCCGCCAAGUGGUCUGAUGCAUCAUCCAGGUAACUGCCAGUAUGCGUUGUCGAGAGGAACUGCCCUACAGUGACAGCCCGUAGUGCAUAGUGGAACUCCACAGGUGUCGGGACUGAGUUCCUCUCACAUAUGCAAGAAAA